AAGUCCACGAAGAAGGAUUAAAGACAUUCAGCUCUCACUCUGGCUAGCCUGGAACACCAACCCUCAACCACCUUUAUAUAUCGUGACAUUCACACGCCCUGAGUUAUUGUCAAGUUUCAAAAAAAAUUGAAAUGACGAGGGCUGUUUAGAGUCAACCACAUUUCUGUCGGUCUGGAGUCACAUGUAGGCCAGACCAGUUUGCAAAUUUACUGAUCUCAAAAAUCAGCAAUUGGAUAUAUGUUGGCAUACUCAACGGGCCUGACCUCAGAAACAUAGUCGCUACAAGAGCAGGUCAGAGGCUAGGAAUACUCAGUGAGUAACUCACUUCCUGACUCGCCGAAGCUUGCCUACCAUCUGCAAGGCACAAAGUCAGGAUGGAAUACUCCCUGCUUGACUGGAGGGGUGCAGCUCCAACAACACUCAACAAGCUUGACACCAUUCAGGACAAAGCAGCACACUAGAUUGGCACCAAAUCCACAACCAUCCAUUUCAUCCACCAGUGAUGCUCAGUAGCCGCACUGUGUACAACCUACAAGAUGUACUUCAGAAAUUCAACAAAAAUCCUCAGACAGCACUUUCCAAAUCCAUGACCACUUCCGCCUAGAAGGUCAGGGGCAGCUGACACAUGACAACACAACUAUCUUCAAGUUCACCACCAAGCCACUCACCAUCCUGACUUGGAAAUAUGUCACUGUUCCUUCACUGUUGCUGGGUUAAAAUCCUGGAAUUCCUUCCCUAAUGACAUUGUGGGUCAACCCACAGAGGGGUCGACUGCAGUGGUUCAAGAAGGCAGCUCACCACCACCUUUACAUGGCCCACAAGCAAUGGGCAAUAAAUACUGGCCAGUCAAUGACAUCCACAUCCCACAAAUGAGUAGAAAAAGGACACAAAUACAACCAGUUGCAAAUCCUGCUGCUGAUGUUGAAAGGUAUUCCACAGUCAUUGAGAAUUUUCUUAAUUUGCUUUGCUCUCAUACUUUGCUCUGAACUCAACAAGGGAGAUCUCCAGUGUCAAAGAGGCUGGAAAAUCCAUUCCAGAAGUGUUCAGUUACCGAGUGGAGUGCUCAGUCUCAUCACAACAAAGCAUUUAUUUCCUUUUUGUUCAUUCUUGUACACAGAACAUUUGUAAAAUUUAAUAAAAACUGUCUCCUUUUUUUAAUGGUCCAGGUUACACCCACACCCACAGGUGAUAAUAGCAGUUAGUUUUGGCAAAAUGCAUGCAAUCUGGUAUACUACAGAAAGUAUCUCUAAUACAGG